rnacentral:tRNA from 1 species
GCUCUUUUUAGGAUAGCUCAGUUGGUUAGAGCAUGGUGCUGAUAAAACCAAGGUUGUAGGUUCAAUCCCUAUAUGGGACA